rnacentral:tRNA from 1 species
GUUUCGGUGACCGAGAAAGGUGAAAGAUUUUUAAUCUUUUUACAGGGGUACUCCCUCCGAGAUA